rnacentral:rRNA from 1 species
CCUAACGUUGCCUCGGCAGGUCGCACCUACCUUGUAGCACCCUACCCUGUAGGGCCUACCCGGGAGGUGCGGGUAAGCCUGCCGGCGGCCCACCAAACUCUGUUUGAUAUUGAAUUCUGAACCUAUAACUAAAUAAGUUAAAACUUUCAACAACGGAUCUCUUGGUUCUGGCAUCGAUGAAGAACGCAGCGAAAUGCGAUAAGUAAUGUGAAUUGCAGAAUUCAGUGAAUCAUCGAAUCUUUGAACGCAUAUUGCGCCUAUUAGUAUUCUAGUGGGCAGGACCGUUCGAGCGUCAUUUCAACCCUUAAGCCUUCGUUGCUUAGUGUUGGGAGCCUACGGCAACGUAGCUCCUCAAAGUUAGUGGCGGAGUUGGUUCACACUCUAGACGUAGUAAUUUUUUAUCUCGCCUAUUAGUUGGACUAAUCCCCUGCCGUAAAACCCCCAAUUUAUCAAGGUUGACCUCGAAUCGGUUCAGACAAACUCGCUAAAUUGAAGCAUCUUAGUCAGCGAAGGAAAAGAAACCAACAGGGAUUGCCCUAGUAACGGCGAGUGAAGCGGCAACAGCUCAAAUUUGAAAUCUGGCCCUCGGGUCCGAGUUGUAAUUUGUAGAGGAUGCUUUUGGCGCGGUGCCUUCCGAGUUCCCUGGAACGGGACGCCUUAGAGGGUGAGAGCCCCGUACGGUUGGACACCAAGCCUCUGUAAAGCUCCUUCGACGAGUCGAGUAGCUUGGGAAUGCUGCUCUAAAUGGGAGGUAAAUUUCUUCUAAAGCUAAAUAUUGGCCAGAGACCGAUAGCGCACAAGUAGAGUGAUCGAAAGA